rnacentral:sRNA from 1 species
GAUUCUUGCCCCUUCUUUUGCUAUCUGACUUGCCCUGGAGAGAAAUACAAGAGCCCUUUGUUCGCGAGU